GACGAACGCUGGCGGCAUGCCUAAUACAUGCAAGUCGAGCGGACUCGAAGAGAAGCUUGCUUCUCGGAUGGUUAGCGGCGGACGGGUGAGUAACACGUAGGCAACCUGCCCUCAAGUUUGGGACAACUACCGGAAACGGUAGCUAAUACCGAAUAGUUGUUUUCUUCGCCUGAAGAGAACUGGAAAGACGGAGCAAUCUGUCACUUGGGGAUGGGCCUGCGGCGCAUUAGCUAGUUGGUGAGGUAACGGCUCACCAAGGCGACGAUGCGUAGCCGACCUGAGAGGGUGAUCGGCCACACUGGGACUGAGACACGGCCCAGACUCCUACGGGAGGCAGCAGUAGGGAAUCUUCCGCAAUGGGCGAAAGCCUGACGGAGCAAUGCCGCGUGAGUGAUGAAGGUUUUCGGAUCGUAAAGCUCUGUUGCCAGGGAAGAACGCUUGGGAGAGUAACUGCUCUCAAGG
rnacentral:rRNA from 1 species